rnacentral:rRNA from 1 species
UACGUAGGGUGCGAGCGUUGUCCGGAAUUAUUGGGCGUAAAGGGCUCGUAGGCGGUCUGUUGCGUCGGGAGUGAAAACUCAGGGCUUAACCCUGAGCCUGCUUCCGAUACGGGCAGACUAGAGGUAUGCAGGGGAGAACGGAAUUCCUGGUGUAGCGGUGAAAUGCGCAGAUAUCAGGAGGAACACCGAUGGCGAAGGCAGUUCUCUGGGCCGUAACUGACGCUGAGGAGCGAAAGCGUGGGGAGCGAACAGG